GGAGAGUGGGACACGGAGCGCAUGGACUGGGCUCUGGAACAGGCCCGAUUUGAAGCCCAGCAUUCUCAGUUGGAAGUAAAGCUGAAACAGGAGACUGAGAGACUGUCAGCUUCACAGCAGGAACACAUUGCCCUGAAAGACCAGCACAGGAAUCAGCUGCUGGAUCUGAGUGCU